UACGGAGGAUGCAAGCGUUAUCCGGAAUUAUUGGGCGUAAAGCGUCCGUAGGUGGUACUUCAAGUCUGCUGUCAAAGCAUGGAGCUUAACUCCAUAAAGGCGGUGGAAACUGUAGCACUAGAGUACGGUAGGGGUAGAGGGAAUUGCCAGUGUAGCGGUGAAAUGCGUAGAGAUUGGGAAGAACACCGGUGGCGAAAGCGCUCUGCUGGACCUGUACUGACACUGAGGGACGAAAGCUAGGGGAGCGAAAGGG
rnacentral:rRNA from 1 species